UCGAGUCGGCCUGCGCGGAAGAUGUAACGGGGCUAAACCAUGCACCGAAGCUGCGGCAGCGACACUAUGUGUUGUUGGGUAGGGGAGCGUUCUGUAAGCCUGUGAAGGUGUGCUGUGAGGCAUGCUGGAGGUAUCAGAAGUGCGAAUGCUGACAUAAGUAACGAUAAAGCGGGUGAAAAGCCCGCUCGCCGGAAGACCAAGGGUUCCUGUCCAACGUUAAUCGGGGCAGGGU
rnacentral:rRNA from 1 species